UACGUAUGGAGCAAGCGUUAUCCGGAUUUACUGGGUGUAAAGGGAGCGCAGGCGGUCUGGCAAGUCUGAUGUGAAAGGCCGGGGCUCGACCCCGGGACUGCAUUGGAAACUGUCAGACUGGAGUGUCGGAGAGGUAAGCGGAAUUCCUAGUGUAGCGGUGAAAUGCGUAGAUAUUAGGAGGAACACCAGUGGCGAAGGCGGCUUACUGGACGAUGACUGACGCUGAGGCUCGAAAGCGUGGGGAGCAAACAGG
rnacentral:rRNA from 1 species